rnacentral:tRNA from 1 species
UGCUCCUUAGUGAAGCGGUAACACAGUUGGCUCUGACCCAAUAAUGCGAAGGUUCGAAUCCUUCAGGAGCAA